UACAGAGGUCUCAAGCGUUGUUCGGAUUCAUUGGGCGUAAAGGGUGUGUAGGUGGCGCCGUAAGUCGGGUGUGAAAUUUCGGAGCUUAACUCCGAAACUGCAUUCGAUACUGCGGUGCUUGAGGACUGGAGAGGAGACUGGAAUUCAUGGUGUAGCAGUGAAAUGCGUAGAUAUUAGGAAGAACACCAGUGGCGAAGGCGGCUCACUGGCCCGGUACUGACGCUGAGGCGCGAAAGCGUGGGGAGCAAACAGG
rnacentral:rRNA from 1 species